UGGGGAAUAUUGCACAAUGGGCGCAAGCCUGAUGCAGCCAUGCCGCGUGUGUGAAGAAGGCCUUCGGUUGUAAAGCACUUUCAGCGAGGAGGAGGGUGGUGAACUUAAUACGUUCAUCAAUUGACGUUACUCGCAGAAGAAGCACCGGCUAACUCCGGUGCCAGCAGCCGCGGUAAUACGGAGGGUGCAAGCGUUAAUCGGAAUUACUGGGCGUAAAGCGCACGCAGGCGGUUUGUUAAGGUCAGAUGGUGAAAUCCCCGGGCUCAACCUGGGAACUGCAUUUGAAACUGGCAAGCUAGAGUCUCGUAGAGGGGGGUAGAAUUCCAGGUGUAGCGGUGAAAUGCGUAGAGAUCUGGAGGAAUACCGGUGGCGAAGGCGGCCCCCUGGACGAAGACUGACGCUC
rnacentral:rRNA from 1 species